UACUUUCCCAAGCAAACAUAUCAACUCUGAAAUUAUCUCCAUGAACUUCACAAACAUAAAUAAAUAACCCAACUAAAUAAAGCCCAAUUUACAAAAUAGAACUAAGCCAUAAAAAACAGCAUUUCCACAAUUUAGGUCAAGGAAUUACGAGUGGUUUCCCAAUUAACAGGUAGAUAAAGCACAAAUUGCAAAUUGAUUAUAAAAAUAUGUAUGUAUGUGUGUGGAUGACUAACCGAGAUCGGAAGUAUGGAAGAAUAUUGGAGCCUUGAUUUGGAAAAUAAUGAGGGCAUGAGUUUGAUGGCGCUGCGCCGCUGCCGGAAAUCAGGCGGUAGGGGAGAAAUAGAGAGACUGAAAGAAAAGAG
rnacentral:lncRNA from 1 species